CAAGUAGGUGGUCUCAUUUGUCUAGGGUGAAAUCCUUGAGCUUAACUCAAGAAGUGCCCUAGAAACGGUGGGACUAGAGUUCUGGAGAGGGUCGUGGAAUUCCCGGUGUAGCGGUGAAAUGCGUAGAGAUCGGGAGGAACACCAGAGGCGAAGGCGGCGACCUGGACAGACACUGACACUCAACUGCGAAAGCGUGGGGAGCAAACA
rnacentral:rRNA from 1 species